UACCGUUGCACAGUCUGAUGUAUAACACAGAGGUGACACUGAGCAGGUGCUGCAGCAAACUGAAGAGAGACCGCCUCAAUGAUUCUGUUUGUUCACAUACCAGCUGUCUUAUGGUGACAUUUCACUGGCUUUUUUCCCCUUUUUUAUGUAAGUUAUAGACUUAAAGAUAGUUUUUCUUGUUUUUAUCAUUUUAGAAAGUUUUAGUAUCCGUGUGACACAUCCUGAAGCUCGUUCCACAGUUUGAGGGCCACUGUGGAGAAGGUGCCGACAACCCUGAGGAGACCAUGAGGAGCAGCUGAUCAGCAGACCUCAGAGACCUCGAAGGGGCUGGAGCUGAAAUUGUGCAGCGCAGACCAAAGAAAGAAGGGAGCAUCAUUUUAUCAUGCAG